AACGAACGCUGGCGGCAGGCCUAACACAUGCAAGUCGAACGAACUCUUCGGAGUGAGUGGCGGACGGGUGAGUAACGCGUGAGAAUCUGCCUGUGGGUCGGGGACAACCACUGGAAACGGUGGCUAAUACCGGAUGAGCCGAAAGGUAAAAUUUAUUGCCACAGAUGAGCUCGCGUCUGAUUAGCUAGUUGGUAAGGUAAAAGCGUACCAAGGCGACGAUCAGUAGCUGGUCUGAGAGGAUGAGCAGCCACACUGGGACUGAGACACGGCCCAGACUCCUACGGGAGGCAGCAGUGGGGAAUUUUCCGCAAUGGGCGAAAGCCUGACGGAGCAAGACCGCGUGGGGGAGGAAGGUUUUUUGGAUCGUAAACCCCUUUUGUCAAGGAAGAAGCUCUGACGGUACUUGACGAAUAAGCCUCGGCUAACUCCGUGCCAGCAGCCGCGGUAA
rnacentral:rRNA from 1 species